rnacentral:rRNA from 1 species
AUUGAACGCUGGCGGCAGGCCUAACACAUGCAAGUCGAGCGGAUGAAGGGAGCUUGCUCCUGGAUUCAGCGGCGGACGGGUGAGUAAUGCCUAGGAAUCUGCCUGGUAGUGGGGGAUAACGUCCGGAAACGGGCGCUAAUACCGCAUACGUCCUGAGGGAGAAAGUGGGGGAUCUUCGGACCUCACGCUAUCAGAUGAGCCUAGGUCGGGUUAGCUAGUUGGUGGGGUAAAGGCCUACCAAGGCGACGAUCCGCAACUGGUCUGAGAGGAGGAUCAGUCACACUGGAACUUGGACACGGUCCAGACGCCUACGGGAAGCAACAGUGGGGAAUAUUGGGCAAUGGGCGAAAGCCUGAUCCAGCCAUGCCGCGUGUGUGAAGAAGGUCUUCGGAUUGGAAAGCACUUUAAGUUGGGAGGAAGGGCAGUAAGUUAAUACCUUGCUGUUUUGACGUUACCAACAGAAUAAGCACCGGCUAACUUCGUG